rnacentral:rRNA from 1 species
UACAGAGGGUGCAAGCGUUGUUCGGAAUCAUUGGGCGUAAAGCGCGAGUAGGCGGCCUUUUAAGUCUGAUGUGAAAGCCCGGGGCUUAACCCCGGAAGUGCAUUGGAUACUGGAAGGCUAGAGGGUGUAAGAGGAGAGUGGAAUUCAUGGUGUAGGGGUGAAAUCCGUAGAUAUCAGGAGGAACACCGGUGGCGAAGGCGGGUCUCUGGGCCGAUACUGACGCUGAGGAGCGAAAGCGUGGGGAGCGAACAGG